rnacentral:SRP_RNA from 1 species
CCGCACUAAUCGGGGAGUCAGCGGUGCCCUGUAGCCUGCAACCCGCUACAGCAGGGAUGAAUCCCGGCCCCCGGAUCUGAGUUGUGCCGUCCGCCCCGGAUAAGCGGCGAUGAGAAGCCGGUCUUGCGCAACGGAAUCCCGCGAACCAUGUCAGGCGGGGAACCGAGCAGCAUUAAGCGGAUCCUUUCGUGUGCCGCGAGGGUGCCGUCUUCGAGCCGGCUGUCCGGGUAACGGGCAUAUUUCACGAUUCAAAGGCCGGUGUGCGG